GACAGAGGAUGCAAGCGUUAUCCGGAAUGAUUGGGCGUAAAGCGUCUGUAGGUGGCUUUUUAAGUCUGCCGUCAAAUCCCAGGGCUUAACCCUGGACAGGCGGUGGAAACUACCAAGCUGGAGUACGGUAGGGGCAGGAGGGAAUUUCCGGUGGAGCGGUGAAAUGCGUAGAGAUCGGGAAGAACACCAACGGCGAAAGCACUCUGCUGGGCCGACACUGACACUGAGAGACGAAAGCUAGGGGAGCGAAUGGG
rnacentral:rRNA from 1 species